GCUGAACUCUGCUGCUCCGUGCAGUACAUUUCAGAAAAUAGUUUGACAUGUCUAUUGGUCUCGGAUUUAGCUGAAAUUUUGCAGAGAACGACUACACAUGAUGAAGUUAUUACAGUAAAAAUUUCAAGUUAUUUGGACUACGAAAACAUCAUCAAAAGUACCCCGAAACAUACUGCCCUGUCAAGCCGAAAACUGACAGCAAAGCCCCUUUGUUUCAACUUAACAUAUAAUUCAUACGUUUGUCAAAUACAAACCAUAGGAACUCAAUUACAUCAUCUUACUACACAUUAGCAUGCUUUAGCUUGAAAUUUAACUCAUGUUUAACUCAUCAACACAAAGCAAGCAAGUUAUAACACAAUUAAUCACCACAACUUCUCCAAUCAAUACUAAAAGUAGUUCUUCCCUUAUUCAUAAAUCAAAAUUGGCUCAACACAUAGUAACAUGCCCAAUAUCCCCCAAUUUUUAUCACAUAAUCACAUUCCACGCUCCCAAGAGUUCAAUUACAUAAGCAUCAAAUAUUUAGCUAUCUUACCUCAAGAAUGCCCAAAUUCACUUAUGAACAAGCAAGGAGAGCCACAACUCCACUAGGGUUAACUAGUACACAACAACAUCAUUUGAAUUUACCCCAUAGAACAUAAAGAGGAAGAAGGGCUUAGCUUUAGGUGAUUAAGGGAAUUGCCAGGAACAGCAGCGGCGUAACCUUCGCUGCUAGAAUCCAGAACACGGCGAUGGCGAUUAACGAGGAAGUGCAGCUAGGGCUCAGCCUAGAAGAAGACCCCACCCUCCCUUGAGUUGUAAAGAGAGAGAACCGAGGAGGGAGCAACGGUGGCGCGUCGAUUCCCGGCCAAGAAAGACGCAGCGUCAUCGAACCAGAGCAACGGCAGCUUCCGCUUCGUCGGGAGAGAUGAGACGUCGCGGCACGUCGAGCAAGCUCCGAGAAGUGGCGUUAUUGGAUAACCUCUUGUAUAAUUGGAGUGCCUCUUGAAAUCAAAGAAAUUACUCCCUCCGUCCACAAAAAAUAUGCCACUUUACUUUCGGCACGGGUUUUAAUAAAAUGUGAGUGAAUUUGGUAGUGGAGUAAGGCUCCCACUUUAAAUGUGAGUGGAAUGGUGUGGACCCUACUACUAAAAAUGGAUGUGGCAUAUUUUUUGUG
rnacentral:lncRNA from 1 species